GCCUCUAAUGAUGAUUAAAACAUAACUUUCGUUCUUCUGAGAAUAUUUUCGUGCGGAAGAUUUAUGGAGACCUGAACUGAAGAGGC